UUGCAGAGAAGGUUUGAGGGGGUUCACUUUGGUUCUUUCGUCACCGUUGAGUGAGUGCAGCGAGCUUUGCGGCCUAGAGCGCAUGUGCGAGGAGCCUGGCGUUCAACGGAAGCAGCCACGUUGCGAGGGCACGAAUCCGCAUGCUCCCUCAGAUUGAGCUUGGGUUUCUCCCGCGGGAGAGUGGAAGCUCCUGGGGUAGGAGAGCCCCGGCCCGAAUUAGGCAGCCCGGGACGCUCUCUCCCUCUGUCCGCGCCAUGUCGGCUGCACGCCGCCCGGGCCUCUUGACCAUUUUGGGGGCGAGAGUGAGGUCAGCAGGGGCGUGGUAGUGGAUUCGUCAGGAGGAUUUCCAGUCCAGUGCUGGCCACGGGCUCUCAGAUCUUUAGGAAACCGCUGCUGGGUUUUUUUGCCCUCCCGUUUGUGGGAAGCUGGCUUGUUUGUGCAAGUGAAACAGGCUCUGAUGGAAAGGGCCCAGUGUGCGCGUUUUCCUGUAGAACGGGAAGAAAACAUAAGGCUACCAAGGAACCAGCGAGUCUCCAAGUGAAUUACAGGGUUGUUUCUGCGAACCAGGUGUCUCUAAUAGCCGUUUGCCGUCUCCCCAUCGAGCCGAUCUUCUUGAAGCUGAAAGUUCCCACCUGUGCAACUGCGGCUUCUGAAGCAGCACUCCCGAGGGGCCUUGCCUCUGGGCCGGCGUGACCGGGACUGAGCAAGCACUAGCAUCCACCCAAGCCAGCUGGGGAGAGCUCACCAUCACCCCUAUCCUGCUGGUGUGCAGUCGGGCCAGACCCUGUCCUUGAAUCGAGAGCUGGGGCUGCCGAAGGCCUGGCCCUGGUGCCAGGAGUCCGACCCUCCGCAGAUACGUCCAGUGCACUGUCCUGCUCUUCUGGCCCUUGACCUGGGGGGUGGGUGGGCAGCAUCUUCCAUGUCUGCCUUGAGCUGCCCUCACCCUGCCUUGCAGCAACGACCACCUGCUAUUGAAGGAAGUGACCUGUGAGUGACCAGGCCCACCCACAAGGACCUCUUAGACUGGGUGCUGUCUCACACCCGCCCCAGGAGAGGGUGGAUGAGCAGCUCGAAGACCUUGUAGGGCUGCACCUGGAAGAGGCCUUUCCUGUGUGUCCACCCCUGGAGCCCCACUGCCCCACUAGGGUGUGCUGUCUGCUGCAUUCAGCCCUGCCACAGGGCUGAGCUAUAGACCCCUCUGGUCCCCAAGGUGAAAGCAUCUUAAGUUCUCACUUUUAAAAGUUUUUUAAUGCGUGUUCUUAAUCCUUGUCCUGAUGGACACCAGCCUCAGCAGGCUCAUCUACCUCUUUAACAGCUUGCCUCUCACAGCCCUA